rnacentral:rRNA from 1 species
UACGUAGGGGGGCAAGCGUUGUCCGGAAUCAUUGGGCGUAAAGAGCGUGUAGGCGGUCCGGUAAGUCGGCUGUGAAAGUCCAGGGCUCAACCCUGGGAUGCCGGUCGAUACUGCCGGACUAGAGUUCGGAAGAGGCGAGUGGAAUUCCUGGUGUAGCGGUGAAAUGCGCAGAUAUCAGGAGGAACACCAAUGGCGAAGGCAGCUCGCUGGGACGUGACUGACGCUGAGACGCGAAAGCGUGGGGAGCAAACAGG